AUUGAACGCUGGCGGCAGGCCUAACACAUGCAAGUCGAGCGGAUGAAGGGAGCUUGCUCCUGGAUUCAGCGGAGGACGGGUGAGUAAUGCCUAGGAAUCUGCCUGGUAGUGGGGGAUAACGUCCGGAAACGGGCGCUAAUACCGCAUACGUCCUGAGGGAGAAAGUGGGGGAUCUUCGGACCUCACGCUAUCAGAUGAGCCUAGGUCGGAUUAGCUAGUUGGUGGGGUAAAGGCCUACCAAGGCGACGAUCCGUAACUGGUCUGAGAGGAUGAUCAGGCACACUGGAACUGAGACACGGUCCAGACUCCUACGGGAGGCAGCAGUGGGGAAUAUUGGACGAAGGGCGAAAGCCUGAUCCAGCCAUGCCGCGUGUGUGAAGAAGGUCUUCGGAUUGUAAAGCACUUUAAGUUGGGAGGAAGGGCAGUAAGUUAAUACCUUGCUGUUUUGACGUUACCAACAGAAUAAGCACCGGCUAACUUCGUG
rnacentral:rRNA from 1 species